rnacentral:rRNA from 1 species
AUACGGAGGGUGCAAGCGUUACUCGGAAUCACUGGGCGUAAAGCGCGCGCAGGCGGUCUUUUAAGUUGGAUGUGAAAGCCUACGGCUCAACCGUAGAACUGCAUCCAAAACUAUUAGACUAGAGUGUGGGAGAGGAAGAUGGAAUUAGUUGUGUAGGGGUAAAAUCCGUAGAGAUAACUAGGAAUACCAAAAGCGAAGGCAAUCUUCUGGAACACUACUGACGCUGCGGCGCGAAAGCGUGGGGAGCAAACAGGAUUAGAAACCCCGGUAGUCC